rnacentral:rRNA from 1 species
AUUGAACGCUGGCGGCAGGCCUAACACAUGCAAGUCGAACGAGCGGCGGACGGGUGAGCAAUGUCUGGGAAACUGCCUGAUGGAGGGGGAUAACUACUAGAAACGGUAGCUAAUAGCGCAUACUAUCGGAUGAACUCAUAUGGGAUUAGCUAGUAGGUGGGGUAAAGGCUCACCUAGGCGACGAUCCCUAGCUGGUCUGAGAGGAUGAUCAGCCACACUGGAACUGAGACACGGCCCAGACUCCUACGGGAGGCAGCAGUAGGGAAUAUUGCACAAUGGGCGAAAGCCGGAUGCAGCCAUGCCGCGUGUAUGAAGAAGGCCUUCGGGUUGUAAAGUACUUUCGGCGGAGAGGCGUUACCCACAGAAGAAGCACCGGCUAACUCCGUGCCAGCAGCCGCGGUAAUUC